UUUUUUUUUUUAAAGAUUUUUAUUUUUUCCUUUUUCUCCCCAAAGCCCCCCGGUACAUAGUUGUGUAUUCUUCGUUGUGGGUUCUUCUAGUUGUGGUAUGUGGGACGCUGCCUCAGCGUGGUCUGACGAGCAGUGCCAUGUCCGCGCCCAGGAUUCCAACUAACGAAACACUGGGCCGCCUGCAGCGGAGCGCGCGAACUUAACCACUCGGCCACAGGGCCAGCCCCGAAUUUUCCUCAUUUUUUAAAAUUUUCUUUCAACUGAGUCUUCUGUUGUUUGGACCCAGAUGCAUCCUAUCUUAUACUGUAGGCAAUCUUGUUUGUUUCUAGUAGCUUUUUGGAUAGGAUAUAAAAAGAAGUCAUUGGCUAAAACCAAUGACAAAACCCUUUUUGUCCUUUUCCUGCCAUCUCCUUCUUGAGGCCGAGAAUGUGUAGCUCUUGCCUGAAGUUCUAGUCGCCAUUUGUAACCAUAAGACAAAGGUCAAGCAAAUGAAGACACUUCAGCCCUGAACCAGAGCCAGGAGCCUCCUCCCUCGGGACCUAUGACAAAAGCAAACAAAAACAAACCCUCAAGUCUUUAAGCCACUACAGUUCAGCCCAACGUGCUGGGAUAUCACUAAAUGGAAAAGAAGAGCAUCCAGGACAAUCAGCCUGUGAGAGAUUAAUCUCUCUGGGAGAAGAAGUUGCCGUGUUAUGAACAGCUCUAGGAAAGGCCCAAGUUGUAAAGAACUGAAGCCUCU
rnacentral:lncRNA from 1 species